UACAGAGGUCCCAAGCGUUGUUCGGAUUCAUUGGGCGUAAGGGUGCGUAGGCGGCGCGGUAAGUCGGGUGUGAAAUCUCGGGGCUUAACUCCGAAACUGCAUUCGAUACUGCCGUGCUUGAGGACUGGAGAGGAGACUGGAAUUUACGGUGUAGCGGUGAAAUGCGUAGAUAUCGUAAGGAAGACCAGUGGCGAAGGCGGGUCUCUGGACAGUUCCUGACGCUGAGGCACGAAGGCCAGGGGAGCAAACGGG
rnacentral:rRNA from 1 species